GAUCUAAUAGCGAAGUUGGUAUCGCAUCCACGACACCUCAGUUGGUAUUGGGUAAGGUCGAAGUGGAAGUCCCUCGUUCGAACCGAGGUUAGGUCC